rnacentral:rRNA from 1 species
UCAAAGUUCGCGUCAGGCGCCGCGAGAAGACGAAAGUACCGAGGGAUGACCGGAAUUGUUGGGGUUAAAAGGUGCGGAAGCGUGAUAGUAAUUGAGUGGUGAAAACCCGGAGCGUAACGGCGGGAUUGCCAGUGAUACUGCUGGUCUGGAGUGUAGUUGAGGUGGGCGGAAUGUGUCAGGUAGCGGUGAAAUGCUUAGAUAUGACCCAGAACACCAAUUGCGAAGGCAGCACGCUAAGGCAUAACUGACGCUGAGGCACGAAAGCGUGGGGAGCAAACAGGAUUAGAUACCCGAGUAGUC